rnacentral:rRNA from 1 species
AUGGUCACCGUCGGCGCCAUGGUGUACCUGGUCGACGGCAGGAGGAAGGUCUGGCGCGCGGACCUCGCGGACCCGGAGCCCAAGGUGGAGUGCCGGAACACGGCGUGCCAGCUCCCGUUCGGCGAGAGCAGCAUGCGCCACUACCUCGUGGAGUCGCUCCGGCACGUCCACCUCGUGCUCGCGGACGAGCACAACGCGCGCGUCGCGCUCUUCAGGUUGGACUGGGACAAGAAGAUGUGGAUGCAGGACCGGGUGCGCGGGGACCGUGUCCUGCUUUUGGGCCGCGGGUGCUCGGCCUCUGUGCCGGCGGCGUCGGGCCGGCCGCCUGGCAUGCUGCUAUUCGCGCACCAGCCGUCGUUGAGUCUCGUUGACGUGGGCGGUUGUGGCGCUGGGCUCGCGUGGUUCUGGGCGGAAUCGUGGGUGGAUGACGGCUCGGAUGAUAUGCUGGUGCUGAAGAAGAAGAUGCACCACCGGCAAGGCGAGUUCACCGCUGGUGACUCGUUCUGGUUCUUCCCGGCCAUCGAUCCGGAUGAAAGGGCUAUGGUUGCAUCGCAGGCCUAG